AAGAAUAUACUUUCAGGGUUCAUAUAUGUAGUUCACUACUAGAGAAGUUCCUCUGGAUGUGUAGAGCACCAGAAGCCAUGAGGAGGAGGCACAGCAUCCUCCUCUGAGCAUAAAGCCGGCUCUGUGUUACCUCAUUGGCCACCAUCUGCAAUUGAUGAUGGGUCUUCUCUUCCUCCAAGAGCAAGAGGGGGAGGAUGCAGUCUGAGUGGU
ensembl:snoRNA U3 Small nucleolar RNA U3